CCAGGUCAGGACACGGUAAGGAUUGACGGACUGAAGGCUCUUCUCGAUUCCGUGGAAAGUGGUGCAUUGGCCGUUUUUGGUUGGUGGAUCGAUCCGUCUGGUUAAUUCCGUUAACGAACGAGACCUCGGCACUCCGAAUAGCGCGGCGGACGUCGCGGCCUCCGGGCCGUCUUCCGCACGAGCUUCUUAGAGGGACCGUCCCCCCGCCGGGGAAGGAGGUGCGAGGCAACGACAGGUCUGUGAUGCCCUUAGAUGUUCUGGGCCGCACGCGCAUUACACUGACGCGUCCAACGGGUGACUCCCGACCCGAAGGGGCCGGGGAAUCCGCAAGGCGCGUCGUGAUGGGGAUUGAACGUUGCAAUUGUUGUUCACGAACGAGGAAUUCCUAGUAGGCGCGGGUCAUCAACCCGCGCCGAUUACGUCCCUGCCCUUUGUACACACCGCC
rnacentral:rRNA from 1 species